UACGUAGGGUGCGAGCGUUGUCCGGAUUUACUGGGCGUAAAGAGCUCGUAGGCGGCUUGUCGCGUCGACUGUGAAAGCCCUCGGCUCAACCGGGGAACUGCAUGGGAAACUGCUGAGCUUGAGUCCGGGAGAGGAGAGUGGAAUUCCCAGUGUAGCGGUGAAAUGCGUAGAUAUUGGGAGGAACACCAGUGGCGAAGGCGGCUCUCUGGACCGGUACUGACGCUGAGACGCGAAAGCCAGGGGAGCAAACGGG
rnacentral:rRNA from 1 species